rnacentral:misc_RNA from 1 species
GACAGUGUCCAUACAAGAUGAACGAUCCCAGCACAUGAACAAAGCAAAAGCCCUUAAGGUGCUCUGUGCAAAGCUAUAUGAAAUGGAAAGGUCAAGAAUUCAGAUGACUCGAUCGAAACUUCGAUUAGAGCAGGUUGGUAGUGGAGACAGAUCUGAACGCAUCCGCACCUACAACUUUCCUCAAGGGCGUGUCACUGAUCAUCGUGUUGGCAUUACUCAUCAUUCAAUAGAUGGUGUGAUGCAGGGAGAGAGUCUGGAUGUCUUCAUUGAUGCUCUUCUUCUACAGCAGGAAAUGGAUGCAAUUGCAUCAUUCAGUUCUGUCCAGUGAUGAAGAGUAGUUCUAGAUUUGGAAUCCUUCAAUAAUUCCUUGGGUAAUAGACAGAUAUCAUCAAGUUGCAUCCAAG